GAAUUUUCCGCAAUGGGCGAAAGCCUGACGGAGCAAUACCGCGUGAGGGAUGACGGCCUAUGGGUUGUAAACCUCUUUUUUCAGGGAGGAAUCAAAUGACGUGUACCUGAAGAAUAAGCAUCGGCUAACUCCGUGCCAGCAGCCGCGGUAAGACGGAGGAUGCAAGUGUUAUCCGGAAUCACUGGGCGUAAAGCGUCUGUAGGUGGUCCAAUAAGUCAACUGUUAAAUCUUGAGGCUCAACCUCAAAAUCGCAGUCGAAACUAUUAGACUAGAGUAUAGUAGGGGUAAAGGGAAUUUCCAGUGGAGCGGUGAAAUGCGUAGAGAUUGGAAAGAACACCGAUGGCGAAGGCACUUUACUGGGCUAUUACUGACACUCAGAGACGAAAGCUAGGGUAGCAAAUGGG
rnacentral:rRNA from 1 species